CAGAAUCUGAGUUGCAACUAAAAAGCUAAUUGUCCAGCCGGCUGAUUUCCCACAGGGCAGGGAGAGCCGUUAAUGGCUUCACAAGUGGCUCAGGUCCGGGUGGUUGACUGGGGAGAGGAGGACGCUGAUGGACUUGGCCCCCCGGGCCAGCCUCCUGACGAGGCUCUCCGCAUGGGGCAGGCAGAGCACCCGGCACCACACACAGGCCAGCCCAUGCCCCUUGCCCUGCCCAGGACCCCUUGACUGCCUUUCACAUGAAUGCUCAUCCGUCUGA